GAUGAACGCUGGCGGCGUGCCUAAUACAUGCAAGUCGAGCGAACAGAUGAGGAGCUUGCUCCUCUGACGUUAGCGGCGGACGGGUGAGUAACACGUGGAUAACCUACCUAUAAGACUGGGAUAACUUCGGGAAACCGGAGCUAAUACCGGAUAAUAUAUUGAACCGCAUGGUUCAAUAGUGAAAGACGGUUUUGCUGUCACUUAUAGAUGGAUCCGCGCCGCAUUAGCUAGUUGGUAAGGUAACGGCUUACCAAGGCAACGAUGCGUAGCCGACCUGAGAGGGUGAUCGGCCACACUGGAACUGAGCCACGGUCCAGACUCCUACGGGCGGCAGCAGUAGGGACUCUUCCGCAAUGGGCGAAAGCCUGACGGAGCAACGCCGCGUGAGUGAUGAAGGUCUUCGGAUCGUAAAACUCUGUUAUUAGGGAAGAACAAAUGUGUAAGUAACUAUGCACGUCUUGACGGUACCUAAUCAGAAAGCCACGGCUAACUACGUG
rnacentral:rRNA from 1 species